rfam:Brachypodium distachyon strain Bd21 chromosome 1, whole genome shotgun sequence.
CAUAUACUCCCUCCGUCCAACAAAAAAUGUUAAGUUUUUCAAAAUUUGGAUGUAUCUAGACAUGACUUAAUGUAUAGAUACAUUCAAAUUUGGUCAAAGUUAAGAUAUUUUUGUUGGACGGAGCAAGUACCUA